rnacentral:rRNA from 1 species
CGGCCGCGGUACCCUAACCGUGCAAAGGUAGCGCAAUCACUUGCCCCUUAAAUGAGGGCUAGUAUGAACGGUAUAAUGAGGGCCUAACUGUCUCCUGAGGCCGAUCAAUGAAAUUGAUAACUCAGUACAAAUGCUGAAAUACACUCACAAGACGAGAAGACCCUGUGGAACUUUAAACACCCCCUGCUAACGCCAACAGCUAAUCUGGCCUCGCCCUAGCAGCCGUUUUAAGUUGGGGCAACUACGGAGUACAAAGACGCCUCCAUGACUAUGGCUCGCUGCUGUAUCUUAGGCCAACACGCCGCCCCAGAAAAUUGACCCAGUACAACUGACUUUCGAACCAAGCUACCCCAGGGAUAACAGCGCCAUCCCCUUUAAGAGUUCCUAUCGCCAAGGGGGUUUACGACCUCGAUGUUGGAUCAGGACACCCCGGCGGUGCAGCCGCUGCCAAAGGCUCGUUUGUUCAACGAAUAAUGUCCU